rnacentral:rRNA from 1 species
GAGACCCACGCCAACAGUUGCCAGCAUGUCCUCCGGGAUGGUGGGGACACUGUUGGGACCGCCUCUGCUAAAGAGGAGGAAGGAAUGGGCAACGGUAGGUCAGCAUGCCCCGAAUUAUCCGGGCUACACGCGGGCUACAAUGGUCAGGACAAUGGGUAUCGACACCGAGAGGUGAAGGCAAUCUCUUAAACCUGUCCUUAGUUCGGAAUGUGGGCUGCAACUCGCCCACAUGAAGCUGGAAUCCGUAGUAAUCGCGUCUCAAAAUGGCGCGGUGAAUAU